UACGAAGGGGGCGAGCGUUAUUCGGAAUCACUGGGCGUAAAGCGUGCGUAGGCUGUCUAGCAAGUUGGAAGUGAAAGCCCAGGGCUCAACCCUGGAAUUGCUUUCAAAACUGCAAGACUAGAAUCUCGGAGAGGAUAGCGGAAUUCCCAGUGUAGUAGUGAAAUACGUAGAUAUUGGGAGGAACACCAGUGGCGCAAGCGGCUAUCUGGACGAGUAUUGACGCUGAGGCACGAAAGCGUGGGGAGCAAACAGG
rnacentral:rRNA from 1 species